UGGGGAAUUUUGGACAAUGGGGGAAACCCUGAUCCAGCCAUCCCGCGUGUGCGAUGAAGGCCUUCGGGUUGUAAAGCACUUUUGGCAGGAAAGAAACGUCGCGGGUUAAUACCCCGCGAAACUGACGGUACCUGCAGAAUAAGCACCGGCUAACUACGUGCCAGCAGCCGCGGUAAUACGUAGGGUGCAAGCGUUAAUCGGAAUUACUGGGGCGUAAAGCGUGCGCAGGCGGUUCGGAAAGAAAGAUGUGAAAUCCCAGAGCUUAACUUUGGAACUGCAUUUUUAACUACCGGGCUAGAGUGUGUCAGAGGGAGGUGGAAUUCCGCGUGUAGCAGUGAAAUGCGUAGAUAUGCGGAGGAACACCGAUGGCGAAGGCAGCCUCCUGGGAUAACACUGACGCUCAUGCACGAAAGCGUGGGGAGCAAACAGGAUUAGAUACCCUGGUAGUCCACGCCCUAAACGAUGUCAACUAGCUGUUGGGGCCUUCGGGCCUUGGUAGCGCAGCUAACGCGUGAAGUUGACCGCCU
rnacentral:rRNA from 1 species